AGAAAGUACACUAACACAUGGGCCAAUACAAAGUAACUACAAGGGCCCAAAGCAUAUUAACAAUAGAAAUACAACCUAAUAUAGCUCAAAUACAAUCCAACAUCAUCAUUAAAGAAUAAUGUUACAGACAUUAAAUGGACUGCUUGUGUAAUUAUAUGUCACUUUUCCAACUUCCCUUGAAUUAGUAUGAUUACAGUAGAUAUACCAAUUUUUUCCCCAUGAAAAAAUUCGUCUUUCUUGCAAGAUUUUCACUUUCAACAAGCAUGGCAACCGUCUUUUAUCGCAAUCCACCUGGAGAGAAGGAAGAUGUCCUUCGCAAAUGUGUUGCGGAAAAGCGUGGGAGUGUAGUUGAUCCUAUGGCACGGAUCAAUGAAGUUAGGAAUUCAUUUGCUCAAAUAGAGAUCCUCACAAUAGAAGUGAUCAAGAAAAAAAGGUGGAAAAUACGCUCCAAGAAGAAAAUCAUUGGAUCAAAGUGAUUAUGCCUGAGCCUGACCACUCCAAAGUUGUUCCAUACGUUGGCUGCAACAACUGUGGUAAACGUACUGGCUUGGACUGUGGUGCCUCCUAUAAUUGCAAAUUUUUCCUCAAAGAAAAGUGUGUUUCAACUCCCAAGUAAAUGAAAUAAACCUCCCCUACUAGCAACUGUUAAUUUCACAUUGUCCCUCUCAAACUUAACAUCUCCUUGUGAACCAGGAUUACCUUCAUGUUUGAUGCUUGCGAUGAAAUUGAUGAGAUGCCUUCACAGCAUUUACGCAAGAAUGUGAAACUUUGUUUAAGAUGUCAGCAGCAAUACAUGCCCAGAUUGGCGAUGAAGUCUCAAAAACUUAUUCUACCAUUAAGCUUCACCCAUGGUUUAUGGUUAAACCAACAUUUGAAAAGCACAUAGAACCAACUACUUUCGUAUAGUAACUAGACAUUGUGAAGUUCUAUAUUUCGAAAUGUACAAAUCGGUUUAAGCCACCAUUCGUUUGCAUCUUUGCCUUACUUUACCUCCAACCAUACCACCAUUAGAAUCAGCAGAAAAAAAAAAAACAAUUUAUGUUAGUCCACCAAAAUUCCCUAAGUAAAAGUACAUUCAUUCCCCUUAUUGCAGUUCAUGUUCGAGUUACAAAUACAUCUAACCAAGAUUACUCCCCUUAUUGUAGGGAACUUUCGACUUCAGGGGAACUUUCGACUUUGAACCAAUUGCACAUGGGCUGAGCACGAACUACUUCCUCUUGCAGAUCGUUCCAGCAACUUCGUUUGCAAGAAAUAAGAUCCUAAGCUAGAUCCCCAAAGCAAUCUAGUGGAAUUAUUAAUGCACACUAUGCGACUCAAUCCCUUUUGAAGUUAAGUGGCCUUCUUAUAGGAACACUAACCUUUUGCACUGUUUAUAGAAAAAAGUUGUGUUCCUAUGGGAUACCCCUACUACUUGCCCUCUAGCAUCCGUUUUUGUUUAAAAGAGGUAAGUCGUAACUGUUUUGUAAAAUACUCCAGUUCCACUUUGUUUAGAUUUGGUUAAGUGUGCACAAUCUAGCUUAGCAUGAGCAGAAAAACCAGUAAACUUAAGCUACUUUACGCUUAUCAAAAUUAUGUUGAAAUUUUAUUCCUAUGUUAAGUCACUUACUGUUACCAUGUGUUCUA